CUAUUGGAUGAAAGAUGCAAAAUAAGAUCGAAAGCUAUAAAAAGGAUGUAUGAGUAAAGGACUGAUAGUUACAGUCACAGAAAGCUUCUCCUAUACUGAACUAUUGUUUUUGUUAUCUUGGACUUCUCUGGUUUUGAGUCAGUGGUAUGUCUCAGUGGGUUAGGGAUCUAUUGGGUCUGGAACGGCAGCUUUCCUGUUCUAGGAUCCCAGACCAGAAUCCCUUGGUGAACAAGGGGUCCUAGGUAUCUUUGCAAGUAACAAGUUAAUGGGGGAAUGAGCAUUGAGAAGUGUGGCUUCAACCUCAUAAUAGAGUGAGAGAAUACCUGGGUGUAAAACCUUUUGGAGGUGUGGUUGUGGUUAGUAUUUCAGGGACAGAAGCAGACUAGGAGGAUAGGUCUUCCGUGGCAGUUCUCUCAGGAGCACUGAGAACUCACUGUUGCAGGUUGGUUUGGCUGGAUAGAGAACUAGACGUGUUUGAGGAGGAAACCCGUGAGGGUCGGUCACACAAAUCCUCAAAACUUUCUUUCCUGGGACCCUUUUGAUGUCCCAGCUGCUGGCUUGGCUGGGUAGUGAAGAUUUGAACUCCAGUGCUGGAAGCUUUCUCGGAUCAGAAGUAGGGAGUUUGCGAUUGCCGUUGGCAACCCCUGAUUGCCGUCACUGCUGACGCGGUCACCCUCCUGAUUCCUGGUGUGACGGAUGCGAUGUGUUCCUGGCUGACCAGGAAACCAGGUGUUGCCAUCACAGCUGUGGCCCAAGCGUUGGAAGUGGAGGUGGCACAGAGGAAGCAGCUGCAGCAGUAGGUUUGACAUACAACUCAACAAGAUUCUGGGAGAGAAGAGAGAGGAGCAAAAUCUUUCUUUUCCAUCUUCUGGCAUGGAACGAAGAGAGGGAAAGAACUGGCAGAGUAGAAGAUAAAGGCUUAUUGUAAUGGGAUUUUAGUAUUCUGUGAACCAGGUAAAAUUCUAAGCAGUGGGGAAAUAAACCAUUUUUUAAAAAAAAAUAUGUAUUUAUUAGUCCC
rnacentral:lncRNA from 1 species